GACGGAGGAUGCAAGUGUUAUCCGGAAUCACUGGGCGUAAAGCGUCUGUAGGUGGUUCGAAAAGUCCACUGUUAAAAAUUGAAGCUUAACUUCAAAGAUGCCGUGGAAACUUUCAAACUAGAGUGUGGUAGGGGUAGAGGGAAUUUCCAGUGGAGCGGUAGAAAUGCGUAGAUAUUGGAAAAGACCACCGAUGGCGAAGGCACUCUACUGGGCCAUUACUGACACUGAGAGACGAAAGCUAGGGGAGCAAAUGGG
rnacentral:rRNA from 1 species